UACAGAGGUCUCAAGCGUUGUCCGGAAUCAUUGGGCGUAAAGCGCGUGUAGGCGGCCCGGUAAGUCCGCUGUGAAAGUCCAGGGCUCAACCCUGGGAUGCCGGUGGAUACUGUCGGGCUCGAGUCCGGAAGAGGCGAGUGGAAUUCCUGGUGUAGCGGUGAAAUGCGCAGAUAUCAGGAGGAACACCAAUGGCGAAGGCGGCUCUCUGGGAAGGUACUGACGCUGAGACGCGAAAGCGUGGGGAGCGAACAGG
rnacentral:rRNA from 1 species